UACAGCGACUGCAAGCGUUAUUCGGAUUCACUGGGCGUAAAGGGUGCGCAGGCGGCCUAGUGUGUGAGGCGUGAAAGCCCGGGGCUUAACCCCGGAAUUGCACCUCAAACUACACGGCUAGAGCAUUGGAGAGGGUAGCAGAAUUCAUGGUGUAGCAGUGAAAUGCGUAGAGAUGCGGAGGAACACCGAUGGCGAAGGCAGCCCCCUGGGCUGACACUGACGCUCAGGCACGAAAGCGUGGGGAGCAAACAGG
rnacentral:rRNA from 1 species